CAUGAAUGGAAAAUGUGCAUAUAUGCUUCUGAUUGCAGUGAGAUUAGCCUCGUCCAAGUUAUGGGAUCUGCCAUGAACUAGACAAGAUUAUAAGUUUACAGAGGCCUUACAUCAAGAGAGUACAAGAUCGCCAUAAGGAAGUAAAGUCUUUGAGGAAAGUGACCUUAUGAGAAGCUUGAGAAAAUCAACUUGUGUGUGAGAAGUUUUGUCUACUUGUGCUAAUUAGUCAUAUGAUAUUUUUAGUCAUGAA